GACGAACGCUGGCGGCGUGCCUAACACAUGCAAGUCGAGCGAGUGAAUCUCCUUCGGGAGUGAAGCUAGCGGCGGACGGGUGAGUAACACGUGGGCGACCUGCCUCAUAGAGGGGAAUAGCCUUUCGAAAGGAAGAUUAAUACCGCAUAAGAUUGUAGCUUCGCAUGAAGUAGCAAUUAAAGGAGCAAUCCACUAUGAGAUGGGCCCGCGGCGCAUUAGCUAGUUGGUGAGGUAACGGCUCACCAAGGCGACGAUGCGUAGCCGACCUGAGGGGGUGAUCGGCAACAUUGGGACUGAGACACGGCCCAGACUCCUACGGGAGGCAGCAGUGGGGAAUAUUGCACAAUGGGGGAAACCCUGAUGCAGCAACGCCGCGUGAGUGAUGACGGCCUUCGGGUUGUAAAGCUCUGUCUUCAGGGACGAUAAUGACGGUACCUGAGGAGGAAGCCACGGCUAACUACGUGCCAGCCGCCGCAGUAA
rnacentral:rRNA from 1 species